AUACGGAGGGUGCGAGCGUUGUUCGGAUUUACUGGGCGUAAAGGGCGUGUAGGCGGGAGCGCAAGCCGGAGGUGAAAGCCCCAGGCUCAACCUGGGAAGCUCUUCCGGAACUGCGCAUCUAGAGAGGGUCAGAGGCAGGUGGAAUUCCUGGUGUAGAGGUGAAAUUCGUAGAGAUCAGGAGGAACACCGGUGGCGAAGGCGGCCUGCUGGGACUCUUCUGACGCUGAGGCGCGAAAGCGUGGGUAGCAAACAGGAUAAGAAACCCCAGUAGUCC
rnacentral:rRNA from 1 species